rnacentral:rRNA from 1 species
CCUACGGGAGGCAGCAGUGGGGGAUAUUGCACAAUGGGGGGAACCCUGAUGCAGCGACGCCGCGUGGGUGAAGAAGCGCCUCGGCGCGUAAAGCCCUGUCAGCAGGGAAGAAAAUGACGGUACCUGAAGAAGAAGCCCCGGCUAACUACGUGCCAGCAGCCGCGGUAAUACGUAGGGGGCAAGCGUUAUCCGGUUUUAUUGGGUUUAAAGGGUGCGUAGGCGGUCCGGAAAGUCAGCGGUAAAAGCCCGGGGCUCAACCCCGGCGCGCCGUUGAAAAUGUCGGACUGGAGAGGGCGAGAGGUACGCGGAAUGCGCGGUGUAGCGGUGAAAUGCAUAGAUAUCGCGCAGAACUCCGGUUGCGAAGGCAGCGUACCGGCGCCGGACUGACGCUGAGGCACGAAAGCGUGGGUAGCGAACAGGAUUAGAUACCCCGGUAGUC